rnacentral:lncRNA from 1 species
AUGGGGAUUUGUGGACGGUGUACAAGUUGCAGUCAUGGAAUCAGCAGAGAUGCCCAAAAUAUGUCAUCCAAAUUGACCAGUCAAGAUGGUGAACAGGACAUUAUCUUGUUCAGAUACUGGGUUUCACAACCCUACCAUGCUUACACUUGAAAGGGUGCCCUUUUGAAGUAGAUUGGUGUAAUGAUUAAGCACCUGGCUUCUGGAGUCAGACUGCUCAGGUUUGAAUCCCAGACCUGCUAGGCAAGUUGCUUUAUCUUUUUGUGCUUUAGUUCCCUGAUUUUUAAAAUGGGGGAAAGAAUAGAAGGAGUGUUUUGGGGACUAUAUGAAAUAAUACACAGAAAUACAUAGAAUGGUAAACUAUUAAUUUAAUGGUGAUGCUUUGCAACAUCUCUAGUCCUUACAGCAACCCUGACAAGUUAUUUUUUCCUCCAAAUUGUGGAUAUAGAACUGAGUCUCAAAGAAGUUAAAUGACUUGCCUUGCACACAGAGACUGAAAGUUAGGGGUGGUUGCCUUCGAUUCUUGAAUUCAUUUCACUAAGUUUUGUUGGUUUAGGAUUCAAGCUAUUAUUAUUCCUUUUUAAGUGAAACUUUAACAAGGGAGCACUGUAGGGAUAUUUAAUUCCUAGUUUUUCAUGGAAUAUUUUUUAAUGGUAAUGGAACCAAAUAUCAUAUAGUAUGCUGAAAGAAACCAUUAUCCAGCCUACAAAUUGUUUUGUGGGGAGAGAGGAUUAAUAUUAUCAUUGAGUCAUAGUGUAAAAUUUAUGUAGUUGGGUUAAGUUGGAAUUUAUUUAUAAUUUAAAGAAAGUUAGAAGAAUUUUUUGAGCAUGGAUGUUGCACACAAACUGUCACGCACACCUUACAGCCAAUUUAAAUUACAUGCACCUUGAUUAUCCAAUCUGAGAACCAGCCCUGGUAAAUCUUACUUUAAGCUCCUAUUAACAUAAAUACCUACUUUGCUUAAUGAAAUAAUUUAUGGAGAUUAUGAAAAAAGUGGAUCUCUCUUUGAAACUGUUCUUCAUACUCUCAAGAUUUUUAGUGGCAAAAGCCAUUGAAAUGUGAGUGCUGCCCCUUGCAUAAUUGUGACCCUCUUGCCAUCUGGUUCAGUCUAUGUGUAUUGUAGAGGGUUAAUAGUUUGUUGAAUGGUUUUGUCAAGAUUGUCUUUUGUACAGCCUUCGCUGUCCUUAAACUUUUUAGAACCACCCCUCUGGAGCUUUCAGCAUUAACUUUGGUACCAUAUAGCUGCA